rnacentral:rRNA from 1 species
CCCUUAGAUGUUCUGGGCCGCACGCGCGCUACACUGAUGAAUUCAACGAGCUCCUAACCUAGGCCGAAGGGUCCGGGUAAUCUUUGAAAUUUCAUCGUGAUGGGGAUAGAUUAUUGCAAUUAUUAAUCUUCAACGAGGAAUUCCUAGUAAGCGCGAGUCAUCAGCUCGCGUUGAUUACGUCCCUGCCCUUUGUACACACCGCCCGUCGCUCCUACCGAUUGAAUGGUCCGGUGAAAUGUUCGGAUCGCGGCAAAUCGGACGGGUAACCGUCAGGUUCGCUGCGAGAAGUUCAUUAAACCUUCUCAUUUAGAGGAAGGAGAAGUCGUAACA